rnacentral:rRNA from 1 species
GGUAGCGAAAUUCCUUGUCGGGUAAGUUCCGACCCGCACGAAAGGUGUAACGAUUUGGGCACUGUCUCAACGAGGGACCCGGUGAAAUUGAAAUACCUGUGAAGAUGCAGGUUACCCGCGACUGGACAGAAAGACCCCAUGGAGCUUUACUGUAACCUGACAUUGGGUUUUGUUGUAUUACGUACAGGAUAGGUGGGAGGCUUGGAAGGCUGGACGCUAGUCUGGCUGGAGCCGUCGUUGGGAUACCACCCUUGAUACAACGGAAUUCUAACCGAGAGAGUAACGAAAUCCGGGACAGUGUCAGGCGGGCAGUUUGACUGGGGCGGUCGCCUCCGAAAGAGUAACGGAGGCGCCCAAAGGUUCCCUCAGCGCGGCCGGAAAUCGCGCGAAGAGUGUAAAGGCAGAAGGGAGCUUGACUGCGAGCCAAACACGGCGAGCAGGUACGAAAGUAGGGCUUAGUGAUCCGGUGGUACCGAGUGGAAGGGCCAUCGCUCAACGGAUAAAAGCUACCCUGGGGAUAACAGGCUAAUCUCUCCCAAGAGUCCAUAUCGACGGGGAGGUUUGGCACCUCGAUGUCGGCUCAUCACAUCCUGGGGCUGAAGUCGGUCCCAAGGGUUGGGCUGUUCGCCCAUUAAAGUGGUACGUGAGCUGGGUUCAGAACGUCGUGAGACAGUUCGGUCCCUAUCCAUCGCGGGCGCAAGAGAUUUGAAGGGGUCUGCUCCUAGUACGAGAGGACCGGAGUGGACGGACCGCUGGUGUACCAGUUAUUCCGCCAGGAGUACAGCUGGGUAGCUACGUCCGGACUGGAUAAACGCUGAAAGCAUCUAAGCGUGAAGCCAUCCUUAAGAUGAGAUCUCUCACAGAGUAAUCUGGUAAGACACCUUAAAGAAGAUGAGGUAGAUAGGCCGGGAGUGUAAGUGCAGCAAUGUAUUGAGCUGACCGGUACUAAUAUGUCGAGGGCUUGACUUC